GAUGAACGCUGGCGGCGUGCCUAAUACAUGCAAGUCGAGCGAAUGGAUUAAGAGCUUGCUCUUAUGAAGUUAGCGGCGGACGGGUGAGUAACACGUGGGUAACCUGCCCAUAAGACUGGGAUAACUCCGGGAAACCGGGGCUAAUACCGGAUAACAUUUUGAACCGCAUGGUUCGAAAUUGAAAGGCGGCUUCGGCUGUCACUUAUGGAUGGACCCGCGUGGCAUUAGCUAGUUGGUGAGGUAACGGCUCACCAAGGCAACGAUGCGUAGCCGACCUGAGAGGGUGAUCGGCCAAGCUGGGACUGAGACACGGCCCAGACUCCUACGGGAGGCAGCAGUAGGGAAUCUUCCGCAAUGGACGAAAGUCUGACGGAGCAACGCCGCGUGGGUGAUGAAGGCUUUCGGGUCGUAAAACUCUGUUGUUAGGGAAGAACAAGUGCUAGUUGAAUAAGCUGGCACCUUGACGGUACCUAACCAGAAAGCCACGGCUAACUACGUGCCAGCAGCCGCCGUAA
rnacentral:rRNA from 1 species